ACCUGUUGUAAUUGAUUCGAUCUUCCCAAACAUCUCAAUGUAUUUGAUACCAUCCUCACCUCACUUGGCAAAUGAGAAAAGUGAGACAUAUAAGCAAACUUGACUGAGAACAGAGAUACUGGCAGGAUUCUAACUUCAGACCUUGCAUCUUUGGCCACCAGGCUGUACUGACUGUAUACUUUACAGUUGAUUAGACCUAAGAGCCCUGUGGGCAACAUUCUCUAGAGGACAGAUUCUGAAUAACAGCUUGUAAAGCUAGAAGUCGUAUGCGUCGGUCUAGAAAUGCGUGCCAUAUUCAGUGAUCACAGAGUAGUUGAGAGGUUCAGCACCGAAGGACCAAGGUUUCCUUUGAACAGUGACAUUUAUUUCACCUUUAAAGGUGAACACAUUUCAUAGAAAAUGAAAUUCAAAAAGGCCAUGCUUAGGAAUAUUGAGAAAGAAUUUAAUAUAUUUUUAUAAGGCGUUAUUACCUCACUAUAUAUUCAUAUUUUGAAAAGAAAUUACUGGAGGUACGUAUUAGGAAUCAGCCUUGCUCAGAAAUUUGGUAUUUUGAAGAGUUUCUAAGGAAUACCCACUUACAAAGAGAUUGCUCUUAAUAGAAGAUAUUGGGGGUUUCAAAAAGACUUGUAGCCACUUUUAUUUAAAAAUAUCUACGUACUCUUAUUUACAUCUGUUAGCAAGUAAAUGAGUCUUGCAAAUGAGUGGUCUUAAUUCUUAAUGUUCACGAUGAGGUUUAAAGAGUUCAUUACAGUUGAAGGAAUACUCAUGGAGCACUGUUACAGUUGCUAGGCUUUUUGCUAGAUGCUGAGUUUUUAAAGACAGUUAAACAUAUCUUAAAAGUAACAAUUACUCCUUAACCUUUGAGUUACAGAAGAGGAGAAUUAAUCCUUCAUUCUCUUAAGAGGUUGGGAGAAAACAACUGGGCAGGAACUUGGUCUUGCAGGUUGAAUUGGAGUUUUCCAGGCAGAGUAGGGUGAGGGGGCUGAGUCGUCUGAGGCAGACAAAAAGCCACGUACAAGGGCACGGAGUCAAGCAGCAGCAUGGCUUGUUCAGCAAUCCAUAAAUAGGAAAUAGAAGAUUGCUUGCCAGAUUCUAAGAAUGCAAGCUUCUUGGAGAAAGAAGUGUUUUUAUCAGGCUUCUAGGCUACUCAUGAACUUGAAAAAGUGCCAUGUGAGAAAUAGAAACCCUAUCAUCCCCUCACAUUUUCCCAAGCAGGGCUGGAGUGCUGAGUGGGGGGUGAGCCUCAGAGGGGACAGCUUGGGUAUUUUCAAAGAAACCUUAGCUCCUGGCUCACUCCUUACCGAGAACCCUGCUUCCUUAGCACGUUCACUGAUAUGGAGCUCAGGGCUGAGCUGACAUCUUGUCACCCCAGCAUUGUACAGGGAGCGUGUUGACUCAACCAGCUUCAAGCUCACAGGUGACUUUGGGGUCACCUAUAAAAGAGUUGUGCUAGAGUACAUGGGUCUAAGUGCCUGCUCUGUCACUUAUUAACUAGGUGUUCUCUAAUCAUUUUUAGUUCUUUGCUGUAUCUGGUGCCUGAUUUAUUACAUGGGGAUGAUAAUGUUAUGUACUGCACGGAGUUUUGAGAUUUGAUACAUUCUUACAUGUAAAGUGCUUUUAACACAACCCAGCCUGAAGAAAGCUCUCAAUAUAAAAGGCUUUGUAGUUGAAAAGACCUUCUUGUUUUUGCCUUAGAAUAAUGUGGGCUUUGUUAAGGGGCGACCAAAGUCAUUUGAGGAUUUUUGAGAGAGAAGGUAGAAGGAGAGUCAAUAUUAUAAUUUUUGUAAAAGACAAUGUAUGAAAGUAACAACUGCCUUUGUAAAUGAUACUCAAAACAGGAUGAUUUUCUAGACCAGGGCUUCUGCAUAAAAAUGGAGUCACAGGUGUGGGUGGAAUGCAUCUUAGGAAGAAACAGGCAGAAUACAUGUUAAAAAGGAACAUCAAUAUGCUCUUCAAGAUUAUAAGCCAACAUUGGCGUUGUCGUUGGGGGUGGGAUGCCGUAAGGAAACGAUAAGAAUGGUGAUGAUGGUAAGAAUGAUGUGUAAUCAACAACCACCGUAGAAGGCAUACCUGUAAUUCUUAGCAGAAAUAUCAGGGGAAAGAGAUGAAUAGGAGUGACUCAGAGACUGAAACUGAAUUCAGGUUAUGGCUGGAGAAUAAGGGAAUUCAAAAUUAGCCUAGAGAGGCAAAGCAAUGAUUGGGAUAGCAGCACUGAAACGGAAGUACUGCUUAGAUAGGGUAAUGGCAAGACAGCAGAUAGAAAGAGCAUAUAAACAGGUUUGUGUGUGUAUGUAUAUAUCUCUCUGUCAUAUCAGGUACCAUGUUCAGAGAUUUCCAAUAUCGCUAUUCUGAAGACAAUUUUUAGAACUUAAUAUCAUUAGCCCCAUUUCACAGACGGGGAUACUGAGGCCAAAAACUUAAGCAUCUUGACAACAUGUCCAACACCAUGUAGACAUUGAGCAGUAGAACUGCGGUUGAGACCUAAUGAUGUCUGAAUGUACACCUGAGUCCCGUCAAACUCUAGUAUAUCCAUUCUCUUGUAUUUAUUAAGGAGAUAGGUGUCUGUAUUUAAAAACAAAACAACACCUGUCCAAUUGAAGGUAGAAGCACUAAGAACAACAUUUGGAAAAGAUUAAAGGGGUGAGAGAAAGAAGUGAUAUUACUCCGGUUCUGUAUCACAGAGUGCCAGGUCAGACAGAGGGGGUUUUAUGAUAUUUUUUCGAAGCUUGAGUUACAGAAUUAACAAGGGAGGUGAGACUUCAAAUGUCCAGACCUUGCAGUGAAUUUUGUUUUGGCUCAGAACACCAUGUGGUAAAAUCUAGACUUGCCUGUCGAACAAUUUUAAUCCUUCAAGGGUUAAAAAAAUAACCAAGGAAGCUAGAACACAAAGUUUAACUUCACAAGUGAAGAACAUUCAAAAUUGUUCUGGGAAGUGGCGGAAACCUGGGCAAAAGUCACAUUAUUUCAAAGCUCAGGGAACGAUGAGUUGGUAGUACAGUUUUUAUCUGUGCUUGAGAUGCCGAAUGGCUAAGAAGGUUUCUGUUGAAUAUCGAUUUUGAGACCCAUUAGGGAAUUUAGGUUUCUGGAGGUGUUGGGGUGGCAAGAUGGCUUCAUGUGUACUAAGUCUGCUCUAGCCUCUAAGAGUGAGAGUCCAUCUACAGAAUACAUUUGCAAUAUAUCAAGCUUUUUAUUAGCUAAAAUGUUAAGGUAUUCUGUUCAUAUGACAAGUCAGGGCUUUCCCACUCAAUGCUUAUGCAGUUCAUUUUAAAAAAUCUUAAAUGAAGGAUUUUGUUUGUUUCUACUAAACUCUGAUGUGAGCUGGUACCCACUGCUUCCUCUUGUCAAGAUUUAAUUCAGUGGGUAUGUGUGUAAAGGCCCUGGUGUGCAGAACUCUUGUGCUGAAUGAUGUAGGGAGAUGAUUGAUGCAAGAGUCUCAGGUUGGGGGUUAGCGAUGACUUUAAAAAAAACCAACAAAAACAAAUGUCUGUUAAAAGUUUUCCCUGUUAGAAGAGGGAGAGAAUACAUUCAGUUGUGUGCAGUCAGAAAAGAUAACCAGAUAACCUCUACACUGAGAAGACAAUGGUUACAUUCUGUCUUCCUGCCCUAGAAGCCAAUACAGUGCCAGGUGCACAAUCAAUCGAAAGCGGCACGUAAUAGGUGAUAAACGUUUUGUUAGGGAAACUUAAAAAAUGGGUCUUGAAGGAAAAACAGAUUUUGAUGGUUCAGAAAGGGAUGGAUGGGAAUACAUGGUAGUUGAAGGGCAAAUGUAGGUAAAUACACAGCUCCAAGUCAUAAUGAGCUUUUCGGUAAAGGUGAAUUGGUUAGUUUUUGUGGUAUAUGGGGGUAUAUUUUGGAAACUUCAAUGCUUAACAUAUUUAUAAGUCCAUUAUUUUCAAUAUCUUAUGCCAUUCAAGUCAUUAAAACAAAUAUUGUGAACAGAUCACUGACUUAAAGAUACUCUUAAAUCUUUAGAUUUUCAAUCUGAUAUUUUCAGAUCUAUUUAAAAUACUCACUAUACCACGUGCUUUCACCUGGAAUUGUUUCCCUUCUGCCUUAAAAGCUCCUUUGAGAAUUUCUUCAGUUCAGGUCUCCUGGUGAUAAGAUUCCUCAGAUGGUAUAUAAAGGACUUUAUAUUGUCUCUUUUUUGCAGGGUGUUUUCAUUGGGUACAGAAUUCUUGGAAAUUACUUUCAGUGCAUUAAAAAUAGCAUGUCUGAUAUUGUGUCUUCUGGCUGCCCUGAUUCUUUAGUCUUAUUUUUGCCAUUCAAAAACAGUCUCCUCUGUUAACUCUCUACCUCUGCCAACCUUUCAGCUUUAAUAAUGUUCACUAUGUGUUUCUGCAGUUUUAAGGUUUUGGUUUUUUUGUCUUUGGUUUUCAGCAGUUUUUCUAUAAUGGUCUAGGUAUGAAUUUCCUUGGGUUUACCUAACUCAAUGUGUGGCACUUCUUGAACCUUUGGCUUUGUUGUUGUUUAAAAAUAAAUUUUGGAAAAUUCCAGUCAUUGUCUUCAGAUAAUGCUUUUAGCCCAUUUUCUUCUGUCAUCUGCUAUUCUAAUUACAUGUAUAUUAACUUGGGUUUCAUAUGUUGCCUUUCCAGUUUUUUUCUUGAUGCUUUAAUCUGGAUACUUCCUCUUCACGUAGCAUCCACUUCACUUUAUCCAUUCAGGUAUACAUGGUAAGCUGUUAAACCCAUAUAUUGAAUACUUUCUUACAGUGUUUCUAUUUUAAAUUAGGUCUUUUUGAUUCACUUCACCCUGAAAUUCUUUGGAUGAUUCAUUAAACAUACUAAUCAGUUAUUCUAAAGUCAUCUGAUAACUACAAUGCCUGAAUUUCCUGUGGGUCUGUUUCUAUUGUUUCUUUGCCCUUCUUAAAUUUUUGGUUAGUUCUUAGUUUUAUAAGCGUGACUAUUUUAGAUGAAUGCUGGGCACUGCAUCUUAAAAGCAUAGCGAUGAUACUGAGCUCUGGGUGAUACCUUCUUCUGUUUACUUUUCUUCCUGGAGGUGGGCAGGGUGAAGACAGAACACCUAGAUACAUGUGGGAAUUAAGUUCUUCCAAAGGUAGCCUUGAGUCUGCAUGAGGGCUGCUGGGUUUCUGGUCUAUUAUGUGUACUGCUUUGAUUUAGCCCUUGGGAAUCCCAGCUGAAGGUCUGGGUAGUUACCCGGGCCCCUUUUCCCUAGCUGGCCAUGAACCAGACCAUCUUUGUGACUAGAUUUAGAUCAGGUGGUUUACUCCUGGAUGUUUUUUGAUACCUUGAUACCGUGUUGCUGUAAUUUCAAGUGACAGCUUGCCAUUAAGUUACUAAUUUUUUUUUCCCUGGCCUGAAUAAAAACAUCACAAUGUCUUACGUUUGCAUUUAAAGACACUUUCCAAGUUUUUCUUAAAUCAUUUAAUCAUCUCAAUAGCCGUCUGAUGAUCCGCAUUCCAUUGAAGUUCUUUCUGGAGACUUACCUGCAGUUGUAAUUGGUGAAUACAUGGGCUCUUUAUUCAUUUAUCUCCUGUCUGUGAAAUGAAUAUUGUGAAAAAUGCAGAUGGGAAGAAGAGGGGGGUACUUGAAAGGAAUUGAGAAGAUUGGAAUUUUAAAGGACUUGGAGACCCAUUGAUAAUGGAAUGAGGAGGGAGUGGUCAUUUUGCUGCAUAAACUGAGACAAUGGUGUUUCUCCUGUUAAAAAAAAAAAAAAGAAAAAAA
rnacentral:lncRNA from 1 species